GAUUUCAAAGGUGUGUGCCAUAUUGCUCUUGAGCAAGAAGGUCAUUGCAGGCCUGGAGAGGUCCUGCUGGGAACAGACUCUCACACUUGUACAACUGGAGCAGUUGGUCAGUUUGCCACUGGAAUUGGCAUCACUGAUGCAGGUCUUGUUAUUGGCACUGGGAAGCUCCUGCUCAAGGUUCCCUCAACUCCGAGAUUUGUAAUGGAUGGUGAGAUGCCAAAUUAUUUGCUUGCAAAAGAUUUGAUUUUACAAAUUAUUGGUGAAAUAUCUUUAUAUGGUGCAACAUAUAAAUCUAUGGAGUUUGUUGGCACAACUGUUGAAAGCUUAACUAUGGAAGAAAGGAUGACAUUAUGUAACAUGGUUGUUGAAGCUGGGGCAAAGAAUGGUGUUGUCCCUGCUGAUAGCGCUACAUAUAAGUACCUUGAGGUUA